rnacentral:rRNA from 1 species
AUUGAACGCUGGCGGCAGGCCUAACAUAUGCAAGUCGAGCGGAUGAAGGGAGCUUGCUCCUGGAUUCAGCGGCGGACGGGUGAGUAAUGCCUAGGAAUCUGCCUGGUAGUGGGGGAUAACGUCCGGAAACGGGCGCUAAUACCGCAUACGUCCUGAGGGAGAAAGUGGGGGAUCUUCGGACCUCACGCUAUCAGAUGAGCCUAGGUCGGAUUAGCUAGUUGGUGGGGUAAAGGCCUACCAAGGCGACGAUCCGUAACUGGUCUGAGAGGAUGAUCAGUCACACUGGAACUGAGACACGGUCCAGACUCCUACGGGAGGGAGCAGUGGGGAAUAUUGGACAAUGGGCGAAAGCCUGAUCCAGCCAUGGCGCGUGUGUGAAGAAGGUCUUCGGAUUGUAAAGCACUUUAAGUUGGGAGGAAGGGCAGUAAGUUAAUACCUUGCUGUUUUGACGUUACCAACAGAAUAAGCACCGGCUAACUUCGUG